GAUUAUGGCUCAGAACGAACGCUGGCGGCAGGCCUAACACAUGCAAGUCGAGCGCGCCCUUCGGGGUGAGCGGCGGACGGGUUAGUAACGCGUGGGAACGUACCCUUUGGUAGGGAAUAGCCACUGGAAACGGUGAGUAAUACCCUAUGAGCCCUUCGGGGGAAAGAUUUAUCGCCAAAAGGAUCGGCCCGCGUUAGAUUAGGUAGUUGGUGGGGUAAUGGCCUACCAAGCCUACGAUCUAUAGCUGGUUUUAGAGGAUGAUCAGCAACACUGGGACUGAGACACGGCCCAGACUCCUACGGGAGGCAGCAGUGGGGAAUCUUGGACAAUGGGGGCAACCCUGAAUCCAGCCAUGCCGCGUGAGUGAAGAAGGCCUUAGGGUCGUAAAGCUCUUUCGCCUGUGAAGAUAAUGACGGUAGCAGGUAAAGAAACCCCGGCUAACUCCGUGCCAGCAGCCGC
rnacentral:rRNA from 1 species